GAUGGACGCUGGCGGCGUGCCUAAUACAUGCAAGUCGAGCGAACAGACGAGGAGCUUGCUCCUUCGACGUUAGCGGCGGACGGGUGAGUAACACGUAGGUAACCUACCUAUAAGACUGGGAUAACUUCGGGAAACCGGAGCUAAUACCGGAUAAUAUUUUGAACCGCAUGGUUCGAUAGUGAAAGAUGGCUUUGCUAUCACUUAUAGAUGGACCUGCGCCGCAUUAGCUAGUUGGUAAGGUAACGGCUUACCAAGGCAACGAUACGUAGCCGACCUGAGAGGGUGAUCGGCCACACUGGAACUGAGACACGGUCCAGACUCCUACGGGAGGCAGCAGUAGGGAAUCUUCCGCAAUGGGCGAAAGCCUGACGGAGCAACGCCGCGUGAGUGAUGAAGGUCUUCGGAUCGUAAAACUCUGUUAUUAGGGAAGAACAAAUGUGUAAGUAACUAUGCACGUCUUGACGGUACCUAAUCAGAAAGCCACGGCUAACUACGUG
rnacentral:rRNA from 1 species